rnacentral:rRNA from 1 species
UACGAAGGGGACUAGCGUUGUUCGGAUUUACUGGGCGUAAAGCGCGCGUAGGCGGAUCGCUAAGUCAGGGGUGAAAUGCCGAGGCUCAACCUCGGAACUGCCUUUGAUACUGACGAUCUGGAGAUUGGGAGAGGUGAGUGGAAUUCCGAGUGUAGAGGUGAAAUUCGUAGAUAUUCGGAGGAACACCAGAAGCGGAGGCCGCUCACUGGCCCAAUACUGACGCUGAGGCGCGAAAGCGUGGGGAGCAAACAGG